rnacentral:lncRNA from 1 species
GGAGCAGCAAUUCCGAGUCCUGCUUUUCAUUCGCUUAAAGGCAUUUCCUUACAUUCAUCGAUAGUAUGUACAUAUGUGUGUGUGUAUGUACAUAUGCAUGUACAUGUACAUACCGUUAUUCGAGAAUUGAAAGUCAUUCAAACCCAACGCCCUCAAUUUGGCUCAGACGCAGAUUAUUCCACUUUUUUGUACACUGUUUUCUGUGUUCAGAAAAAUGUUUCUUUCCAGUAAACGCAAACGCUUUGGUCGCACAGCUCUCUGGGCAGUGAUUCAGCAAAAGCCAAAUGGCAUUUGUUAUUUUUUCUUUUUUUUUUUUGCAGCUGUCGAGACGCUUAUGAAUAUGAA